UGGUGACGUCGGUGACGUCGGUGGUGGCCUCGCUGUACCUGGCGCUGGUGUUGGCCUUCGGCCUCCGCGACCUCUGCCUCGUCUGCCUCAGCACCUACGCGGUCAACGCCGCGCUCCUCUUCCUCAACUACCGCCGCUGGCGGCGCUGCCAACGGCCCCCGGCCCUGAAACGGGAGUGACAAGAUGGCGGUGACAACAUGGCGGUGACAAGAUGGCGGUGACAAGAUGGCAGUGUCUGUAUGGUGACAAGGUGGCGGUGACAAGAUGGCGGUGUCUGUAUGGUGACAACGUGGCGGUGACAACAUGGCGGUGUCUGUAUGGUGACAAGGUGACAGUGACAACGUGGCGGUGUCUGUAUGGUGACAACGUGGCGGUGACAAGAUGGUGA
rnacentral:lncRNA from 1 species